rnacentral:rRNA from 1 species
UACGUAGGAUGCGAGCGUUAAUCGGAAUUACUGGGCGUAAAGCGUGCGCAGGCGGUGAUGUAAGACAGAUGUGAAAUCCCCGGGCUCAACCUGGGACCUGCAUUUGUGACUGCAUCGCUAGAGUACGGCAGAGGGGGAUGGAAUUCCGCGUGUAGCAGUGAAAUGCGUAGAUAUGCGGAGGAACACCGAUGGCGAAGGCAAUCCCCUGGGCCUGUACUGACGCUCAUGCACGAAAGCGUGGGGAGCAAACAGG